rnacentral:rRNA from 1 species
UACGGGGGGGGCAAGCGUUGUUCGGAAUUACUGGGCGUAAAGGGUUCGUAGGUGGCUUGCUAAGUCAGACGUGAAAUCCCUCAGCUUAACUGGGGAACUGCGUCUGAUACUGGCGAGCUUGAGUGCAGGAGAGGAACGCGGAAUUCCAGGUGUAGCGGUGAAAUGCGUAGAUAUCUGGAGGAACACCGGUGGCGAAGGCGGCAUCCUGGACCGACACUGACGCUGAGGAGCGAAAGCCAGGGGAGCAAACGGG